rnacentral:rRNA from 1 species
UUGAACGCUGGCGGCAGGCCUAACACAUGCAAGUCGAACGGUAACAGGAAGAAGCUUGCUUCUUUGCUGACGAGUGGCGGACGGGUGAGUAAUGUCUGGGAAACUGCCUGAUGGAGGGGGAUAACUACUGGAAACGGUAGCUAAUACCGCAUAACGUCGCAAGACCAAAGAGGGGGACCUUCGGGCCUCUUGCCAUCGGAUGUGCCCAGAUGGGAUUAGCUAGUAGGUGGGGUAACGGCUCACCUAGGCGACGAUCCCUAGCUGGUCUGAGAGGAUGACCAGCCACACUGGAACUGAGACACGGUCCAGACUCCUACGGGAGGCAGCAGUGGGGAAUAUUGCACAAUGGGCGCAAGCCUGAUGCAGCCAUGCCGCGUGUAUGAAGAAGGCCUUCGGGUUGUAAAGUACUUUCAGCGGGGAGGAAGGGAGUAAAGUUAAUACCUUUGCUCAUUGACGUUACCCGCAGAAGAAGCACCGGCUAACUCCGUGCCAGCAGCCGCGGUAAUACGGAGGGUGCAAGCGUUAAUCGGAAUUACUGGGCGUAAAGCGCACGCAGGCGGUUUGUUAAGUCAGAUGUGAAAGCCCCGGGCUCAACCUGGGAACUGCAUCUGAUACUGGCAAGCUUGAGUCUCGUAGAGGGGGGUAGAAUUCCAGGUGUAGCGGUGAAAUGCGUAGAGAUCUGGAGGAAUACCGGUGGCGAAGGCGGCCCCCUGGACGAAGACUGACGCUCAGGUGCGAAAGCGUGGGGAGCAAACAGGAUUGGAUACCCUGGUAGUCCACGCCGUAAACGAUGUCGACUUGGAGGUUGUGCCCUUGAGGCGUGGCUUCCGGAGCUAACGCGUUAAGUCGACCGCCUGGGGAGUACGGCCGCAAGGUUAAAACUCAAAUGAAUUGACGGGGGCCCGCACAAGCGGUGGAGCAUGUGGUUUAAUUCGAUGCAACGCGAAGAACCUUACCUGGUCUUGACAUCCACGGAAGUUUUCAGAGAUGAGAAUGUGCCUUCGGGAACCGUGAGACAGGUGCUGCAUGGCUGUCGUCAGCUCGUGUUGUGAAAUGUUGGGUUAAGUCCCGCAACGAGCGCAACCCUUAUCCUUUGUUGCCAGCGGUCCGGCCGGGAACUCAAAGGAGACUGCCAGUGAUAAACUGGAGGAAGGUGGGGAUGACGUCAAGUCAUCAUGGCCCUUACGACCAGGGCUACACACGUGCUACAAUGGCGCAUACAAAGAGAAGCGACCUCGCGAGAGCAAGCGGACCUCAUAAAGUGCGUCGUAGUCCGGAUUGGAGUCUGCAACUCGACUCCAUGAAGUCGGAAUCGCUAGUAAUCGUGGAUCAGAAUGCCACGGUGAAUACGUUCCCGGGCCUUGUACACACCGCCCGUCACACCAUGGGAGUGGGUUGCAAAAGAAGUAGGUAGCUUAACCUUCGGGAGGGCGCUUACCACUUUGUGAUUCAUGACUGGGGUG